UUUUCGGAGAGCUUCUCUCUCUAACUUUCUCUCUCUAGAUCUUCAGCGGAUCAUAACUUUUGAUCCGUAACUCCGAUUCAGGAUCCGCAAAGGGCUACAGAUUUAUCUUGAUGUCCUCUUUCUAUCCAUAGAGGUUUGAGUUAGAUCCAAUGGUGAUUUCUAGAAGGCUCGUUUUUAGGAGGCUCGGUUUACGAUCGGUAUUCUAGGAGGCGAUUUGUAUUGUCGAGAGAAGUACUUAGGUUUUGAUGAGCCGAAGUGGGUUGGACGAGCCUAGAAGGAAGAUUUUAUUUACAUUCUGCCUUGUAACACUCACACCUCAGAUUCGGGGUCAGGUGCUUAAAAUCCACCGACACCGGGUCUGGGGCGUGACAGAAAUCAAAACUGCAAAGGCACAAAUGAUUUAGGAUGUAAAGAUCAGGGAGGUAAAAUGAAAUUAGUUCUUAUUUUUAUUUCUCAAAAUAUGGCUCAAUGUAAUUAUAGGUAAGUCAAAACUCAUUUUACACAUAUAUUGAAAUUACUUAAUAACAUUUACAAAUAUUAGUGAAGGUGGUCAUAUUCAAUUAACUAUCUCUCCAAAUCUCCCAAAUUAAUUGUUGUUUAACAAAAGGAAAUUAAAGAAAAUAAAGCUUGUGAAAUCAAUUAUAUAUAUAUAUAUAUAUAUAUAUAUAUAUAUAUAUAUAUAAAGAUAAGUUGUAUGUUAUAGAAAAAAGAGAAACAUAUUUAAAAAAUAGAAAAAGUAGAAAAUUAUUAGGGCUUAAUUGGGCGGGCUCAGAGAGAUGAGCUGAGCUUCAUUUGCAUGGCCCAUAUCCUACCCUAUUUGAGAAAGAAUUGGGCUGGUCCGCUUUAAUGCAAGUGCCGGGCCGGGCAGGCUUAGGGUCGAAGGGCCAAACGAUGACCCCUAGAUUGACAUCCCUAAAACCAUUUUUGUGGAAUGUGGAGCAAGAGCCAGUGGUAAUUUUAGGGGGUGUUUGUUUCAUGGGAUUGGAUGGGAUUGGACUGUCUUAUUUAUUAGAGUAAGAGUUAUCCCAUGUUUGGCUGAAACAAGGACUCACUUAAAUGAGACUAUGCAGUCCCCGAGUCUACCUCCGCACCUUCUUACAUAGUCUCCCCAAAUUUCACCGGACUGUGGAAGCAGGUUUUAUGCAACGCUAAAGUCUCGUUCUUCGCUUCAGCCUCAUCGUUCUCACUCACUCGUUUCCUUCGCUUCAGUCUUCUCCGGCUGCUCUUUUUCAGGUUCAAUUCUCUCAUUUCUCAUGCUCUCUGUCUUGUGUUGAUUAUUGUUCACUCUCCCCUUCAACCCUCUCUACCUUCUUCUUUCUCCGUCUACUAUAAUUUGUUUUAUUAAAGAUUAUGGAAUGAUUAUCUGUAAUUUGUUUAUGGGUAGUGAUUAUUUUACGGAUUGAUUGAGGAUUUGGUGUCUGAGUAGCUUGAUUUGUUGAGAAUUUGAUCAAUUUCAUGACUGGGUCUCUCUCUCUCUCCCCCCUUCAACCCUCUCUACCUUCUUCUUUCUCUGUCUACUGUAAUUUGUUUUAUUAAAGAUUAUGGACUGAUUAUCUACUGUAAUUUGUUUAUGGGUAGUGAUUAUUUUACAGAUUGAUUGAGGAUUUGGUGUCUGAGUAGCUUGAUUUGUUGAGAAUUUGAUCAAUUUCAUGACUGGAUCAAUUUCAAUUUGAUCAAUUGUUGUUUAGGAAGGAAACUACUCGGUAUUGGAGAAGUUCUAUGUACAUCGGCAAGGAUACAAGAACAGAUUUUCAAAAUCCAGGACCAGGUAUAUAUUUCGUUUCUUGCUAUUAUCUUUAUGGAUGUGUGAAAUAAAACCUUCGCAUACUGUUAAGUUGAGGUCAAACUCAUUAGCCAGAAACUGACCAUUACUUGGAGCUAUCUUUAUUAAUAGCUAAGCACCAGAUCCAUCUGUUUCUUGUAAUUGAGGAUCCCAUUUUUUUAGAAGUCCUCUAAUGCUGGUUGUUUAUGUAAUUGAUUCAGUCCACAACAAGCUGCUUCCCUGAAUUGUUCUUUCAGGCAUUUCUCUGCCCUUUGGAUUCCUAACAAGUACAAAAUGCUCCUAGCCACUUUUUGAUAAUAUAAAUUCAGUCUUAUCUUUUGUUUCAUUUUGUAAUUUAUGUUUUUGAUAUGUGGAGUUAAUGAAAUUGGUUCUGUUUUCGGAUGUAUGUGGAGGCUUUGAAAUGUGCAUUGUGGCUUGCUGCUUUGGCACACUUCUGGAAUAAUGAAGGCAUUACUGAUCAUAUCAGAUGAGGGAGAUGACUGUCCCAUGACCAAGCUGCCAGAAAUCAACUUUGAGGCUCUGUUUUGGUGCAAAACUCCUAGAGAAAUGAAGCUUAUUUUUAGGCUCAUGUUGUUAUUACGUUAGGAAACUUUCAUUAUGGAAGGGAGCUUGUCCUUAUCACCAAGGGUGGCACUCCUUUCUAAUCAAGCAAAAUUUACUUUGCUCACAAAGUAUGUAUUAGCUGAUCUUUUAGGAUGUGGCUCUCUAUCUUGCAGAGGCCAUUUUGACCCUUUAGGAUGUCCUGUAUGUCCGCAGUUUAUUAAUGAAAUUAUUUCCUAUAUGAUUCAAAAAAAAGUGUAAAACUACAUUAUAAAUAUUAUCUCUUAUUAAUAGAUAAUAUUUUGCUUUAAAAAAAAAUAUUGUGAUAUGCAAAAUUAAAUUAGUCCUAAA